rnacentral:sRNA from 1 species
UAACAAAGCAGCCUUGCGUCUUGACCUAC